UACAGAGGUCUCAAGCGUUGUUCGGAUUCAUUGGGCGUAAAGGGUGCGUAGGCGGCGCGGUAAGUCGGGUGUGAAAAUUUCGAGGCUUAACUUCGAAACUGCAUUCGAUACUGCCGUGCUUGAGGACUGGAGAGGAGACUGGAAUUUACGGUGUAGCGGUGAAAAUGCGUAGAUAUCGUAAGGAAGACCAGUGGCGAAAGGCGGGGUCUC
rnacentral:rRNA from 1 species